AACGAACGCUGGCGGCAGGCCUAACACAUGCAAGUCGAGCGAGGACUUCGGUCCUAGCGGCGGACGGGUGAGUAACGCGUGGGAACGUGCCCUUUGCUUCGGAAUAGCCCUGGGAAACUGGGAGUAAUACCGGAUGAGCCCUUUGGGCGAAAGAUUUAUCGGCGAAGGAUCGGCCCGCGUUGGAUUAGGUAGUUGGUGGGGUAAUGGCCUACCAAGCCGACGAUCCAUAGCUGGUUUGAGAGGAUGAUCAGCCACACUGGGACUGAGACACGGCCCAGACUCCUACGGGAGGCAGCAGUGGGGAAUCUUAGACAAUGGGGGAAACCCUGAUCUAGCCAUGCCGCGUGAGCGAUGAAGGCCUUAGGGUUGUAAAGCUCUUUCAGCUGGGAAGAUAAUGACGGUACCAGCAGAAGAAGCCCCGGCUAACUCCGUG
rnacentral:rRNA from 1 species